CGAAUGGGGAAACCCAGUGUGAUUCGUCACACUAUCAUUAACUGAAUCCAUAGGUUAAUGAGGCGAACCGGGGGAACUGAAACAUCUAAGUACCCCGAGGAAAAGAAAUCAACCGAGAUUCCCCCAGUAGCGGCGAGCGAACGGGGAGGAGCCCAGAGCCUGAAUCAGCAUGUGUGUUAGUGGAAGCGUCUGGAAAGGCGCGCGAUACAGGGUGACAGCCCCGUACACAAAAGCGCAUGUGCUGUGAGCUCGAUGAGUAGGGCGGGACACGUGGUAUCCUGUCUGAAUAUGGGGGGACCAUCCUCCAAGGCUAAAUACUCCUGACUGACCGAUAGUGAACCAGUACCGUGAGGGAAAGGCGAAAAGAACCCCGGCGAGGGGAGUGAAAAAGAACCUGAAACCGUGU
rnacentral:rRNA from 1 species